AAUUUUGGGGUCUUUUCCCAGCCCCUUUGUUUUCCAUGUAACAAAAGGCCACCUGCCUUAUCGUCAAUAAGUGGAGCUCUUGGCACACUUGUAUAACCACAUAAGAAAAGAUGCUCAUCCAUUCUACUUAAUUCCUAAUACAUGCACUUUUUCCGAAAGUCUUCUAGAUUAUAUUUUUUCAUGCUGAACCAGGAUCGCCUAACAAAUUUCAUCCUUUACUAUCCUCCUACCGCCUUUUGGUGGGUAAGAACGAUCUGUUAUCACCAGAUUCGUUUGUGAUGUAGAGUGGCUGUUGUGAAGUUCUUCCCUUUAUCUGCUGACCGAACCGUAUAAAUUCAUCUACCAGCUUGUUGUUCUGUUUACCUCAAGCCACCUCAAAAUCACUCAGUCCCCUUACUUAUUUAACAGCAGUAAUUACUCAAAGCGUCACACACACAUGCACACAAACACAGUCACACCACACUCACAGAAAAGACAACAUUUCGGAAAUUUUAGCACCCUUCAUUAGGAAACAAAUAUACUAUGCUAUUUUCAAAAGGAUAUGUCAUCUUCUUUAAUCUGCUUCCUCAAAAAUAUCAUCAGCUUCCUCCAUAUCAUCUCCAUCAAGUGACAACUGGCAAGUAGCCUUCAUCAUCAUCUUCAUCUUCUUCUUCGCUUUCUUGUUCUAAUGGCUGCCUUUGUGUGGUACUGGUACCCCUACUUGAACUGCCAAUAUUUUCUCCAAGCCUACUCCCUCUUGAUCUCAGGUUGAAUCUCUCUUCAUAAACACAGAUGCACUAGCAACGUGUCCCCAUGUAAGACCAUCAUCCUCUUCAAACACAUGAUCAUCUUCAGCAUCUACUUCUAUCCUCCCAGUUAACCACUCGUUGCUAUCAUCAAUAUCUUUCAAAGCUAUGGGAUCAAUCUUAUCACACAACUUGUAUCUUAGGAUCAAUGCUCGGUUGUACUUAACGAACACCAAGUCAUUUAAUCUGGAUUGUGUGAGCCGAUUCCUCUUUUUGGAAUGAAUCUGUCAAAACAGAAUUAGUAACUUACUCCACUAAAACAAGCUAGAUAACCACUAAUCUAAACUGUAAACCUAAACUCCUAUUAUCUUGGAACGUGAGCUACAUGUUAAGCAACCACUAAUCACUAAUCUGUUAAGCUGAUUUUGAAGCACAAAACAACACACCCUUUUGCUUCAAAUUAGUACAAUUUCAUGAAACACUUUCUCUUCAAUUAUGAUGCACUUCUGAUGCUCUUCUCACCAACAUUUACUAUUUGGACAUUGGAGCACUUCUCUCCAUGGUGCACUUCUCACCCCCAUUUCAAAAUAAUUUUUCUUCUACGGCCACUUGUGUCAUAGAUGGUUCUUUAUCAUUUUCGAACCUGCAAUUCCUUGCCAUAUGCCUAAAAUUUUGACAUUAUCAUUUUGGCUUUCCCUUAUGCCUACAAGUUUUCUUCUCAUGACCAAACUUAGAGAUUUUCCUUUCCCUUUAUGGUAUGAAGACUUGACUAAUAGGGCACCUUCAACUCUUUCACCAUCUGCGUUUCUCAUAUUUCUUCUUUGAUCCACCGUAUGGAGUGAUUAAUCAACUCUGAAACUGUUAAUUUAGAAAAAUCUUUAGUAUCUUCAAGUGAACAGAUUUUAGUUUCAUACAUCUCCGGAAGAGUGGCAAGGAGCUUGUCCACCACCUUUUGGUUGUCAAAAUCCCCACCAAGUAAUUUGAUUUGUUGACAAUUGACAUCAACCGAGCUCUAUAUUUUCUAACAUCAUAACUUUUUUCCAUGAUCAUCAUCUCAAAUUCCCUCUUCAUGCAAAAAAAGUGAUGGUGUUAGAGAAUAUGGAGCUCGGUUGAUGUCCAUCGUCAACCAAAUCAAAUUACUUGAUGGGGAAUUUGACAACCAAAUGGUGGUGGUCAAACUCCUUGUCAUUUUUCCGGAGAGUGGAUCAAAUAAGAAGUAUGAGAAGCGCAGAUGGUGAAAGAGUUGAAGGUGUCCUAUUGGUCAAAUAAAGAGAAAGGAAAAUCUAUCUAAUGCAAUCAUUGUCAGAAGGUUGGUCAUGAGGAGAAAAAUUGUUGGCAUAAGGGAAAGCCAAAAUGCUUCAAUUUUGAAAAUUUGGGCAUAUGGCAAGGAAUUGCAGGUUCGAAAAUGAUGAAGACCCAUCUAUGGCACAAGUAGCCAUAGAAGAAAAUUUAUUUUGAAAUGUGGGUGAGAAGUGCACCAUGGAGAGAAGUGUUCCAAAGUUCAAAUUGUAAAUGUUGGUGAGAAGUCCAUCAGACGUGCAUCAUAGUUGAAGAGAAGUGCUUCAUGAAAUUGUGCUAAAUUUGAAGCAAAGGCGUGUGUUGUUUUGUGCUGCAAAAUCUGCUUAACAGAUUAGUGGUUAGUGGCUGCUUACACGUAGCUCACGUUCCUAGAUAAUAGGAGUUUAGGUUUAUAUUCAGUUAUUUAGCUUGUGUUAGUGGGAUCAUGUUACCCACUACACCUAAGUCUUAGCUACGUUUUAGGAAGUCAGUUUCUUUGUUGUAGCCUAUUUAAAUAUGCAGUCUCUUGUAUUUUCAGUUUGAAUAAGAAAUGCAGUGAGUUGUUUCUAA